GAAGCUCAAGCGGAGCCCGCUGGCCGCAGGGGCCGCACCACGCCCCAGACCCUGGAGUUUCCGGGUGCGCAGACCCUUGCCAUCAGCAGAGGCUGCCGCUGCGCGUCCCCUAGGCGCGGAAGAGGCGGCUGGUGGUCCCUGACGGCAAGGUUUUAUACAUUACGAAUAAAGCUGGCACGUUUCCAUUUCUCCUGGGCAAAUAUUUAGAAGAAAAGUUGCUGGGUAAUUGGUGGAGACAAGGUUUCGCCACAUUGACUGGGCUGGUCUGGAACUCCUGAGCUCAAGCAACCGGCCCUCCUUGACCUCCCAAAGUGCUAGGAUUACAGGUGUGAACCACCGUGCCCGGCCCUACUUUCUAUCGAAGUAGAAUAGGUAGAUCACAUUAUUAUUAACAGUAUAUGGGAAGAGGGAGGUCCUCCCAUGUUACAUUGUUCUCCCUUCACCUUCUGGGUCAUGUUGCACCACUGUUUCCCUUCUAGUCAUAUCCCAGGGGGCCUUGUCCCAUUUAUACAGCUCUAUUCUAGUGGUCACCAGAGGAAUGGGAGUAAUCUGAUUGAAAGAUAAGACAGAAGAUUGUACUCUCUUUUUUUUUUUUUUGAGACAGAGUCACCCAGGCUGGAAUGCAGUGGCAUUGUCAUGGCUCACCGCAGUCUCAAACUCCUGGGCCCAAGUGAUCCUCCCACUCAGCCUCCUGAGUAGCUGGGACUAGAGGCACAUGCAACCACAUGCAGCUAUUUUUUUUUAAAUUUUCUGUAGAGACAGGGUCUCACUGUGUUGCUCAGUUUGUCUCAAACUCCUGGGCUCAAGUGAUCCUCCUGCCUUGGCCUCACAAAGUACUAGGAUUACAGGCAUGAGUCACCACACUCAGCUGAACUCUACUCUUUAUGUUCAGGAAAGCACUGGAGAAGAGAGAGGACAAGAGAAACAGGUCCGUAGUGACAGGAGCCUAGGAAUAGAGCAGGCCUUCAGUCUUGGUGAAAAAAUAAAUGGUAUUCUAAGCCUUC
rnacentral:lncRNA from 10 species